AACUCAAACUCUGAUAGUAACGACUCGGAAGAAGAAGACAUUGAUCCUAACUUUGAAGUCAACACGAUUGUCACCCUCCCUCGUCGCGUCCCAACGAUGAAAGUGCAGUGCUUGUAAUAUAAUAGAUCUACCUUCUGCAGGUGAAUGGGAGGCCCCAUUGCAUUUCGACCAGAUCAGCUAGGAUCUCAUGCAUGAACUCCAAGUUUGACAGUCAUCGAGCUGUCCUGUUUGGGGGCAAUGGCUCACUAGUGUACUCAACACAUGCCUAGCCUCCUUCACAAGGCCUCAACCAGAGUAGAGGAGGUUGGACAGGGUCAAAUGAAUCAUCACCCGUACCACGUCUCAAUCUUUGCUACCUCCCUACCGAGCUUUCCAGUCGAAUUAUCAAUGAUAAAGUGGCCAGUGCCAGUGGCUCAAAGUCACAUGUUAAAUCCUAACUGAACAUUAUAUUAAAUGUAGUGCACUGCUAUAUAUAUCAUUUGAAAGGUCUCUUUCUAAGCUUCCGAAAAUCAUAGUUAGUGACAUCAUAGCAACAAUUUUUUGAGGGGAAGUGGUGUUAUUAUUUGUAAAAAAAAUAAUUUAACUGUGUCAAAGUGAUUAUACGAUAGAUGAUAAUGAUCAAAUGAAGGUUAUCAAAUGCUAUAUAUAUAAAUUAUAUUAUUAUAUGCAUCAUAAAAAAUAUAUGGUUUGGCGAAUGGAGUGAAUGGAAUUAAUUUUAAUGAACUACAUGUACAGGGAUGGGUAGAUGUUUAUUAACAUAACGUAUACUGAAUAGAUGAGCAUCAUUAACUAGAAAUGGUUGAUGGUGGUACACUCGAUGAAUGGCUUUGAAGAGUGCCCCGAAGGUAGCUCCCCUCCCCUCUCUCCUCUGCCAAUUGAAAAUCAGUUGGUAUAACGGCGGAUCGAUAAUAUUAUACAAUUUCUCCUCCGGUAGAUCAAUUUUGUCUAACUCUUCAGGUAAGAUUCCCAGUAGACAGCCAACUAUCCUCCAGCAGUUUUGCAACUUUGUAGACAGAUUCAGCAGGGCUGUAUAACUUGAUGCCGUGUAACCUUUUAUGAAAAUGUCCAGAAUGAAACAAUCUUCUAGGUGUGAACUGAGCAGGACAUUCGAGUCUUCGUCCUCACACACAGCAAUGUCGACAAUAUCUAUGGCACUGAGUUGCUCCUUGAGUCGUAUCAAACUAGCGGCUCCGCCUUGACUGACUACCCAUUUGCCGAGAACUGUAAAGGUAUCUUCUUUUUCAUUAGGCCUGUACUCUAUGUUCAAUGCUUUGCACAGCUGUUGAGUGUCGGAUAACUGGAGACUGAUGUCUGCGAGGAACUUGAGGUGCUCAGACGUUAGAGUAUCAAGAAUAAUGU